UACGAAGGGGGCUAGCGUUGCUCGGAAUUACUGGGCGUAAAGCGCACGUAGGCGGAUCGUUAAGUCGGGGGUGAAAUCCUGGAGCUCAACUCCAGAACUGCCUUCGAUACUGGCGAUCUUGAGUCCGGAAGAGGUGAGUGGAACUCCGAGUGUAGAGGUGAAAUUCGUAGAUAUUCGGAAGAACACCAGUGGCGAAGGCGACUCACUGGCCCGAUACUGACGCUGAGGCGCGAAAGCGUGGGGAGCAAACAGGG
rnacentral:rRNA from 1 species